CGCUCCGCUCCCAAUCCUGGUCGCGGGGUUGCUGCGCCAGAGCCCACACCCGCACCAACCCUAGCCGCCACACCUCUCCUUCCUCCCUCGCUCGAUAGUGCCGCACCCCCUCCCUCCUUGCUGCUCGUCCGGAUAGCCGCCGGCCACCGCAUCCCUUCUCCCCCUUCCUCCUCCUUCCUCCUUCCCCCUGGCGCCAACGAGGGGGCCUCCCGCAUGGAUGGCCGGGUCUUCGAACCGGGGGUAGAGGAGCAGGGGAGGGCAAAGAAGCCAGCGGUGGGGUGGAGCAGCUGGGAGGGCCAAGAAGCCCGUGGUGGGUGUGGAGCAGCUAGGAGGGCCAAGAAGCCGGCGGUGGGGGUAGAGGAGCAGGGGAGGGCCAAGAAAGCCGGCCGGGAGCACACCACCGUAGGCAUCAAGGGAGCCGUGGACAAGCCGCCAGGAGGAUAAAGCUCCCAGUUUGAGGAGGAGACUACGGCACAGGUGGUGCUUUGAAAUCUAGAUUGAUUUGGUACUGUAUGUCGUGUGGUGUGCCCUUGCCAGGAAUAUCUAAUGUGUGUCAUGACACAAUCAAUUGUAGAGCUGGGAAGCAUGAUGCUUGAUUAGUGGACUGCCGCUUGAGAAGAAGCUUGUCAUAUGUCUCUUCGAGCCACGGUGGCUAGGGGCCUUCGAAGAACACGGGGUUUGACAUAGCCAUUGAGGAAGUGCAGGAUACAAACCAGAUGUAAACAAAGAGGAUAUGGAUUUAGUACGGCCACGAGUGAAGGAAUGAUGUUCCAAUUUGGAUCUUGGAGAAUGUUUUCUCACUGUGGUUCAGGUUAAACUGUUGUUCUACUGUUCCUACUCAGCCUCCUAAUGUUCUAUGUCUUGAUGCGCCUUCUUCCAGCUUCUCUAUUGGUUUUCUCUUCACACUGAUGAAAAUUCCUAGGGAUUUGAUUGAUGGAGGCAUCGCUAUUUGGCGCUGGAUUAUCCAUUUUUGCAGCACCAGCAAUGUUGUUUUUGUUUGGAAUGUCCAGUUCUCAAUUUCUAAAUCGGCUAUACUAUACUUCUUGUCAGCUUACAUUAUCUUGCUUCCUUUCAGUCUAUAUGUAGCACAAAAAUACUCGGUGACAUGGUUGGUUUGUAUGUUACACUAAUGAACACCACCAUAAGGAAAAGGGCAUUGCACUUUGUU